rnacentral:rRNA from 1 species
GACGAACGCUGGCGGCGUGCUUAACACAUGCAAGUCGAACGGAAAGGCCCUGCUUUUGUGGGGUGCUCGAGUGGCGAACGGGUGAGUAACACGUGAGUAACCUGCCCUUGACUUUGGGAUAACUUCAGGAAACUGGGGCUAAUACCGGAUAGGAGCUCCUGCUGCAUGGUGGGGGUUGGAAAGUUUCGGCGGUUGGGGAUGGACUCGCGGCUUAUCAGCUUGUUGGUGGGGUAGUGGCUUACCAAGGCUUUGACGGGUAGCCGGCCUGAGAGGGUGACCGGCCACAUUGGGACUGAGAUACGGCCCAGACUCCUACGGGAGGCAGCAGUGGGGAAAAUUGCACAAUGGGCGGAAGCCUGAUGCAGCAACGCCGCGUGCGGGAUGACGGCCUUCGGGUUGUAAACCGCUUUCGCCUGUGACGAAGCGUGAGUGACGGUAAUGGGUAAAGAAGCACCGGCUAACAACGUG